GUAGAACUGUGUGUGCAGAGAGGGGAAGACCUGUGUUGUAGUGAUGGGCUGCUUUCUGGAGAAAGGUCUUUUCUGUUGUUCGGCAGUCUAUGGCAUAGAUUCAGGAAAACCAGCUAUGUAAAGUUUAGGACUGUAGUAUUCCUGUAACUUAUUAAGGCAUAAGUCACAGGAUGUGGCAAAGAAGCAAAGACUUCAUGGGGGAAAACCUCACUGUGAUGAAUUUGUAAGGACUAACUUUGAAGAGGAGUAAGGCAUAUGUGCAGCUCCCCAAAAGUUGCAUACCCAGCCUGAAGUUGCAAGGCAUCUGUGCAGAGGAGAAGAGAAGACUCGCUCCAUCCGUUGCUCCAGUGGUGUGGAGUCCGUGCUGCUGGCCAGUCCCAGGAGAACAUAGCGCUGGUACAUCAGCAGUGAAAGUGCAUCUAACCAACCGUGGAGUCGCAACAGUGCCUUUUCAACACGAUCAGAAAAUAUGGAAGAGGGAUAGAAAAAAUCCACUUCUGGGGCAGAAAGAGCCAUAUUCUUAUUUAAAUGUAACGCAGCAGAUUGUAAAACCAUAAGUAAGGGCAGAACUUUUCUCCACAGGAUCAUCUUAAAAAUGGAUAGAGUCAACUAAGUGUGUGCUUCAUGUAACUAAGAAAAGAUGGAAGUAGCCUUAGUGAAACAAAGUGCCAUUGACCAGCAUCCCUGCCUGUAAAUUCUGCAUGUUUUGUGGAGAUGAACAGUGGCAUUGCAAUUAAAUCACUCAGAAGGUGGUUGAAUGUUAAAUUAGUUAGGUCCUGCUGUAAUUUUACCAUCUAUAAUAAUUCAUUCUUUCUCUGUGUGUGUGGGAGUAGUUAGAUCAGUUAAUAAUUUGAUAACCAUAUUGGGGUUAAGGGAGGUUUCUUGCCAUCCAUUGUAGGUAACUCUGCA